GGCACCUAAAAGCGUUUUCUUGAUUGCUUUUUAAACGCGCCUGAAAAUCGUAGCUGUGUGCCAGAGCAAUUGCUGCGGUUGCAAGUGAAUUGAUGUCAAUUAGUGCAACAAUUCCAUUUACACCACGCACAUGU
rnacentral:snoRNA from 15 species